AGCGAACGCUGGCGGCAGGCUUAACACAUGCAAGUCGAACGGGCACUUCGGUGCUAGUGGCAGACGGGUGAGUAACGCGUGGGAACGUACCUUUCGGUUCGGAAUAAUUCAGGGAAACUUGGACUAAUACCGGAUACGCCCUUCGGGGGAAAGAUUUACCGCCGAUAGAUCGGCCCGCGUCUGAUUAGCUAGUUGGUGAGGUAAUGGCUCACCAAGGCGACGAUCAGUAGCUGGUCUGAGAGGAUGAUCAGCCACAUUGGGACUGAGACACGGCCCAAACUCCGACGGGAGGCAGCAGUGGGGAAUAUUGGACAAUGGGCGCAAGCCUGAUCCAGCCAUGCCGCGUGAGUGAUGAAGGCCUUAGGGUUGUAAAGCUCUUUUGUCCGGGAAGAUAAUGACUGUACCGGAAGAAUAAGCCCCUGCUAACUUCGUGCCAGCAGCCGCAGUAAGAC
rnacentral:rRNA from 1 species